UACGUAGGUGACAAGCGUUGUCCGGAUUUACUGGGCGUAAAGAGCGCGCAGGCGGUCGAUCAAGUCGAGUGUGAAAGCCCCCGGCUCAACUGGGGAGGGUCAUUCGAUACUGAUCGACUCGAAGGCAGGAGAGGGUAGUGGAAUUCCCGGUGUAGUGGUGAAAUGCGUAGAUAUCGGGGGGAACACCAGUGGCGAAGGCGACUACCUGGCCUGUUCUUGACGCUGAGGCGCGAAAGCUAGGGGAGCAAACGGG
rnacentral:rRNA from 1 species